UUUCUUUUCCCUUUUCUCUCUUCAGCUCUCUCUAUCUGGUUUCCGAUGUGGGAAGCUCAGGAGCUUUCACAUAACAUGAACAAGCCUAUGAAAGCAGCCCGACACAGAUUUCUACCAGGUGGUGGCUACUCAUCUUCUGUCUCAUCAAGCUUGAAGCAUGAAGGGUUUGAAUUUGGUGGUGUUGAUGUUGAUCUGUGCGUGAUGGGUUCGACUUGAUGUGAAUUGGGUGCUAUCCUACCUGAGCUUUUUCUUUUCUUUCAUCGUUAUUCCUUCAUCCAACCAUUUUCUUCUUGACCUUGUAAGACCUUUUCUUGACCUUGUAAGAUCUCACGCCGCGUCUGUUGUCUUUCUCUUCGCAUUUCUAACACACCCUGCACCGGAAUUCUCCGAUGUAGAGUUUGGCCUCCGCUUCUCCCCGCUCCCGCCAUACCCUUCUUCUCCUUCCUUGUCUAUCCCUCCUGAGCUGUUCGGAAACUAUAUAUGUAUAUGAUUCUGUGAUUUCUGUCACACCCCGAAACCGAGACAUGUAUGAAUUAUUCAAAGGUGUGAUAUAGCUAGGCACCAAUGCUAGCCUGUAAAAUAUGGGAAGGACUGAGAUAAUGAAAAUGCUAAUUAAUUGUAAAUGUGGUCCUCCCAGAGUAGCUAGAGAGCUGUGGAAAAAAGGUGUAGUACUAGCAGAAUAUCAAUGUCAUAUUAUAUCAUUCUAUCUUGUUGUU